rnacentral:rRNA from 1 species
GUAACAUGCCCUUCGGGGUGAUGACGAGUGGCAGACGGGUGAGUAAUGCAUAAGAAUCUGCCUAGUAGUAGGGGAUAACUCGGAGAAAUCCGAGCUAAUACCGUAUACGAUCCGCAAGGAUGAAAGCGGGGGAUCGCAAGACCUCGUGCUAUUAGAUGAGCUUAUGUUAGAUUAGCUUGUUGGUAGGGUAAAGGCCUACCAAGGUGACGAUCUAUAGCUGGUCUGAGAGGAUGAUCAGCCACACUGGGACUGAGACACGGCCCAGACUCCUACGGGAGGCAGCAGUAGGGAAUAUUGGACAAUGGGCGAAAGCCUGAUCCAGCAAUGCCGCGUGUGUGAAGAAGGCCUGCGGGUUGUAAAGCACUUUUAGUGAGGAAGAAAGAUUCUAUGGUUAAUACCCGUAGAGUUUUGACGUUACUUGCAGAAAAAGCACCGGCUAACUCUGUGCCAGCAGCCGCGGUAAUACAGAGGGUGCAAGCGUUAAUCGGAAUUACUGGGCGUAAAGCGCACGUAGGUGGUUAUUUAAGUGAGAUGUGAAAUCCCUGAGCUUAACUUGGGAAUUGCAUUUUAUACUGGAUAGCUAGAGUAUGGUAAAGGGAAGUGGAAUUCCACAUGUAGCGGUGAAAUGCGUAGAGAUGUGGAGGAACAUCAGUGGCGAAGGCGGCUUCCUAGACCAAUACUGACACUGAGGUGCGAAAGCGUGGAGAGCAAACAGGAUUAGAUACCCUGGUAGUCCACGCCCUAAACGAUGAGAACUAGAUGUCGGGGGAGUUUGUCCUUUGGUAUCGCAGCUAACGCGCU